rnacentral:lncRNA from 1 species
AUGUACCAAUAUCACUGUAUCUGUGAUAAGUCAAGCCUCUGUAUGACAGACACUGAGGGACUCGCACGGCUAAAUUUGUUGCCAUCUUCAAUCCCACUCUCUGUAAAACAGCAACAAAAUGGAACUUUUAAUUGUCAGAACAAUCAAGUUGGCUUUCUUGUGCAAUUACUUAUGCAUGUACAGAAUUUACCCAAUCGAUAUCUCCCAAUCAUUAUCUACUGCACUUUCACUCAUGUAAUCCACCUACCUUUAAGGCUUCAUAGGCGUUGUCUGUCGACAGAGCUCGACGGGGUCUCACAUGCAGACAUUCCUGCUGAUCUUCAACAGUUUUCUCCUGCAGCAGUAAAGUGCUCUGGUCACCAUGAACCAGAUAAAUGUUCAUGACAAGGCUUUCAUUGGGUUUGAGAAGACUUGCACACAGUUUGGCCUCAGAUCCCGACUCGAUCACUGCAGGAAACGUCACCAUGAAAUAUCUAUUUAAAAAAGAUAAUAAUCAUACAAUAGUGCCCAAGUCAUUAGAUAUGCAUGUUUCUUAUGCUAUAAGUUGUCUUUCAAACAGCAAACAUUUAUCUUGCAACAUAGAUCAGUUAAGUAAACACUGAAGAAAUCACAGUACAAUGAUUAAUGGUAUACUAAUAAUUUUUCACAUCUAGAAAACAAAACAUUUCUAGUUGUACCAGAAAAGUACAGUGGCAUAAAAAAAAUUCAUUUUUUCAUUUAAAGUGAAAGUUUUUACAGUAAAAAAACAAAAAAACAAAAACAAAUCUGCACCAUUUAAAGGUUAAUUAUUAUUAUUUAAAUAUUAUGUUGUCAUUAAAGCAAAAGGGGCAUCAAAUACUCAUGUCAGUUCCCUUCACACAAUGGAAAAGAAAAAAAGAAAAUAGAUUUAUCAUUAUUGUCAAAGUUUUGCUAUUAAAACAAAACAACUUCCUAUCUUUAGAAGAAAUUAAAAACUUACGGCCCAGAUGUUUGUCCAUUUACACAAACAAGAAGGAGAGAGAACAGAAGGAGCCCCUUCCAACAGCAGCUAACAUUCAGAUCCAUGAUGACUGGGGAUCAUGACAUUAACUGGAACAUCUCUUAUAAAGGCAGUCUCAUGCUAAAGGAGGUCCUUCAAAAACUUUUUGAAGUUGUAUUGAUCAUCUGAUUAAUGAUUCAACCAUGUAGGCCACGCAGUUGGAAAAACUUGUGCUAAUGUGCGUUGGUUGUUUAAUUUGUGAUUAUGAGUUUGAUCAAGACCAGGCAUCAAAAUAUUACAAGCAGGUUCAAUUCAGGUGAUGAUCUUACACAAAAUAGACAUAAAAUAAAUAUUAAAUUCUUUAUGAAUCUUCCUCACAAUGUAAUUCUGAGUUGACAAAAUAACAACUUAAAUAUUGCAUAUUGGAAUGUCCAAGCAUGUAAACAAUAAUCAAAAUAGUCAUUUUAUUUGCAGUCAAAAGAGAAGUCGAAGAGUUCAGUUCUUAGUAAAUAAUAUGCAGGCACUCAACUGAAAUCUUUAAAGUACAAAGUACGCACUGUUGCCAACUCUCACGUGAAAAAAUAAGCAACCUCAGCUUCAGAAACAAGCCCCAAACAAGCCCAAUAUUAUUUGAUUGUUUAUUAUCAUCAGUGUUAUUUAUUAUCAAUUAUUUAUUACCAAUAAAUGACCCUGCAACAUAUUAAAUUGAAAUCACUCUUUUAUUUGAAAAGCAAAAACUGAAUUUUGGAAAAACCAAAAUUAAAAAAAAAAAAAAAAAAAAAAUUAAAACAAAUACAAAGAAGAAGCACAAAGUUGUGUAUUAUGCGGACUAAUGACAACUCUGAAAGUAUGUGUACACAUGUGAUCUGAAAACAUAAUCCUACUCUUAUCUUCAUCUACAUCAGGGGGCUCCAAACUCGGUCCUGCAAGGCCAUUGUCUUGCAGAGUUUAGCUCCAACCCUAAUUAAACACACCUGAACCGGCUAAUCAAGGUCUUACUAGGCAUGCUAGAAACUUCCAGGAAUGUGUGUUGAGUCAAGUUGGACCAAAACUCUGCAGGACACCGGUCCUCCAGGGAUGAGUUCGGAGACCCCUGAUCUACUUAGAAAUGCACAGCUACUGAACUUUAACUGUGUAGACAAAUAAUGGGCUACAACAACUGAUAUCUACCAUCCAGAGGUACAUACACCCACUCAAACUGAGUGAGAGAGUAACUGUAAGUUACUUUUCUGUGUAUGUUGCAAUCAUUCAUUUUUUGAUAAAGUAUUUUAAAAAGAAAUAUGAGAAAACUACAUUUUUCAGCCCAAAAAAUUAAAACAAGAAUUCACCUUAAUUUAUUUUUUUUGUUUUUAUGUUCAGGGGUAGAACAUGGAUAAACAGCUUGAAUAUUCAAUCUCCUCAUGUGGGUGGUAAUAAAACAUCCCUUUCCGCUGACUGGUCAAGGAUUGGUGUGUCAUCACUAUUUCUUUUUUUUUUUUUUAGUUCCGUUGAAACUAGAAUAAUAGUCCCCAUAUAUAUAUAUAUAUAUAUAUAUAUAUAUAUAUAUAUAUAAAACAUAAUUUAUUGCAACUAUAUUUCAUCUCUGUCCCCAAACAACCAGACUAACAAAUGGCUUGACACAAACUGAACAGAGGCAGUGACUAAACAGGGCUUACUUCUGUGUUGACAUAGAAUCUCUUUGGCAAAUAUUAGGUGGAUAUUUCAGAAAUAUGUAUGUACCUCGCAUCUUACCCCUUAGUUCAGUGGUUUUAAAAUUUUAAGAGCAACCCCCCUUUUAUCCUUGUAAUUUUUUCCCCCUUUUAAAUCCUUUUUUUAUUCAGUUGUGAGACACUGUUUAUGAUUUAUGGGGAUUAAAAAACAGUGGGUGGAUUUUUAUUAUUACAGGGUGGUUAUAUACACACUGCCAACACAACAUUUAUGUUCAAAACCAUGUAAAAUCGGAUUUUGCAUAAUAGAGCCACCCCCUUUUACACACACACACACACACAUGUGUGUAAAAGGGGGUGGACCUAUUAUGCAAAAUAAUAUAUACAGGUGCUUCUCAAUAAAUUAGAAUGUUGUGGAAAAGUUCAUUUAUUUCAGUAAUUCAACUCAAAUUGUGAAACUUUGUGUAUUAAAUAAAUUAAAUGCACAAAAGACUGAAAGUAGU